AGUGAACGCUGGCGGUAGGCCUAACACAUGCAAGUCGAACGGCAGCACAGUAAGAGCUUGCUCUUACGGGUGGCGAGUGGCGGGCGGGUGAGGAAUACAUUGAAUCUACUUUUUCGUGGGGGAUAACGUAGGGAAACUUACGCUAAUACCGCAUACGACCUACGGGUGAAAGCAGGGGAUCUUCGGACCUUGCGCGAUUGAAUGAGCCGAUGUCGGAUUAGCUAGUUGGCGGGGUAAAGGCCCACCAAGGCGACGAUCCGUAGCUGGUCUGAGAGGAUGAUCAGCCACACUGGAACUGAGACACGGUCCAGACUCCUACGGGAGGCAGCAGUGGGGAAUAUUGGACAAUGGGCGCAAGCCUGAUCCAGCCAUACCGCGUGGGUGAAGAAGGCCUUCGGGUUGUAAAGCCCUUUUGUUGGGAAAGAAAAGCAGCAGGUUAAUACCCCGCUGUUCUGACGGUACCCAAAGAAUAAGCACCGGCUAACUUCGUG
rnacentral:rRNA from 1 species